UGGGGAAUAUUGGACAAUGGGGGCAACCCUGAUCCAGCAAUGCCGCGUGUGUGAAGAAGGCCUGCGGGUUGUAAAGCACUUUCAGUAGUGAGGAAAUGCUCAAGGUUAAUACCCUUGAGUCUUGACGUUAACUACAGAAGAAGCACCGGCUAACUCCGUGCCAGCAGCCGCGGUAAUACGGAGGGUGCAAGCGUUAAUCGGAAUUACUGGGCGUAAAGCGCGCGUAGGCGGUCUGUUAAGUCGGAUGUGAAAUCCCUGGGCUCAACCUGGGCACUGCAUUCGAAACUGGCAAACUAGAGUAUGGUAGAGGGAAGUGGAAUUUCAGGUGUAGCGGUGAAAUGCGUAGAUAUCUGAAGGAACAUCAGUGGCGAAGGCGACUUCCUGGACCAAUACUGACGCUGAGGUGCGAAAGCGUGGGGAGCAAACA
rnacentral:rRNA from 1 species